GCUGGCGGCGUGCCUAAUACAUGCRAGUCGAACGCUUCUUUUUCCACCGGAGCUUGCUCCACCGGAAAAAGAGGAGUGGCGAACGGGUGAGUAACACGUGGGUAACCUGCCCAUCAGAAGGGGAUAACACUUGGAAACAGGUGCUAAUACCGUAUAACAAUCGAAACCGCAUGGUUUUGAUUUGAAAGGCGCUUUCGGGUGUCGCUGAUGGAUGGACCCGCGGUGCAUUAGCUAGUUGGUGAGGUAACGGCUCACCAAGGCGACGAUGCAUAGCCGACCUGAGAGGGUGAUCGGCCACAUUGGGACUGAGACACGGCCCAAACUCCUACGGGAGGCAGCAGUAGGGAAUCUUCGGCAAUGGACGAAAGUCUGACCGAGCAACGCCSCGUGAGUGAAGAAGGUUUUCGGAUCGUAAAACUCUGUUGUUAGAGAAGAACAAGGAUGAGAGUAACUGUUCAUCCCUUGACGGUAUCUAACCAGAAAGCCACGGCUAACUACGUGCCAGCAGCCGCGGUAAUACGUAGGUGGCAAGCGUUGUCCGGAUUUAUUGGGCGUAAAGCGAGCGCAGGCGGUUUCUUAAGUCUGAUGUGAAAGCCCCCGGCUCAACCGGGGAGGGUCAUUGGAAACUGGGAGACUUGAGUGCAGAAGAGGAGAGUGGAAUUCCAUGUGUAGCGGUGAAAUGCGUAGAUAUAUGGAGGAACACCAGUGGCGAAGGCGGCUCUCUGGUCUGUAACUGACGCUGAGGCUCGAAAGCGUGGGGAGCAAACAGGAUUAGAUACCCUGGUAGUCCCACGCCGUAAACGAUGAGUGCUAAGUGUUGGAGGGUUUCCGCCCUUCAGUGCUGCAGCUAACGCAUUAAGCACUCCGCCUGGGGAGUACGACCGCAAGGUUGAAACUCAAAGGAAUUGACGGGGGCCCGCACAAGCGGUGGAGCAUGUGGUUUAAUUCGAAGCAACGCGAAGAACCUUACCAGGUCUUGACAUCCUUUGACCACUCUAGAGAUAGAGCUUCCCCUUCGGGGGCAAAGUGACAGGUGGUGCAUGGUUGUCGUCAGCUCGUGUCGUGAGAUGUUGGGUUAAGUCCCGCAACGAGCGCAACCCUUAUUGUUAGUUGCCAUCAUUUAGUUGGGCACUCUAGCAAGACUGCCGGUGACAAACCGGAGGAAGGUGGGGAUGACGUCAAAUCAUCAUGCCCCUUAUGACCUGGGCUACACACGUGCUACAAUGGGAAGUACAACGAGUCGCAAAGUCGCGAGGCUAAGCUAAUCUCUUAAAGCUUCUCUCAGUUCGGAUUGUAGGCUGCAACUCGCCUACAUGAAGCCGGAAUCGCUAGUAAUCGCGGAUCAGCACGCCGCGGUGAAUACGUUCCCGGGCCUUGUACACACCGCCCGUCACACCACGAGAGUUUGUAACACCCGAAGUCGGUGAGGUAACCUUUUGGAGCCAGCCGCCUAAGGUGGGAUAGAUGAUUGGGGUGAAGUCGUAACAAGGUAGCCGUAUCG
rnacentral:rRNA from 1 species